CGUAUCUCUCUCUAUCGUUCCCCCCACUCCUCUUCUACCUGUGGCUCUGCUACCCUAGACAGAUUCUCUUCUACAAAAAAAACAGAACCGCCGCAUCCAAAAAAAAAAAAACACAGAGCCGCGAAAUGCCGAGACAGAGAUAGCAAUUGGAUUUUGAGGGUCCUUCACCAUUCUCUUUGAUUUUCGGGUUGUGGCCUACUUCCUCUCAAAAGAGAUGAAGUGGAAUACUCUAAUUUCAUCACAGCAAAGCGAAAGACCAAAUCUAUAUAGUUUAGAAGCUGUCUGCAAAUCCCAGCAAUAGCAAAGUGAAAAGGGAAAAGAAAGCUAUGAGUAAUGGACAUAGACAUGAGUUAUUAAAACACUAAACAAUUGUAUCUUUUUGGUGGUUUGCUAUUGGUAAUUCUUUUCUUCACAAUCAAGCUAUUGUUUUCUGUUUUUAAUUUUUAAUUUUUAUAAUAACAAACAUUUAUAACUAAGGCAUUGAAAUAUUUUGUGCACACCAUGUGUUUGAGAAAAUGCCUUGCUUACUCUUGCAUUAGUUUGUAGCCACUUUAUGGUUUGUGCAUCUUGGUUUUAAUUGAUACUGGUUAUUGACUACUUUUUGUUAUGUAUCAAUCAUAAGUUAUGAUGAUACAAACAAUAUUCUGUUUGUACCCAACGAUCGGGAAAAAAUAUGUUUUUCCAAGUCAUUAAAGGAUGAAGAAACUCUUAGAUGUCAGU